GCUGGGCUAAAGGCCUCCUCUCCUCUUUUUGAGGAGAAGGUUUGGAGCUUAUUCCACCACGCUGCUCCAAUGCGGGUUGGUAGAAUUCACAUGUGGCAGAAUUUCAGUGAAAUUAGACACAUCAUGCAGGUUUCCUCACGAUGUUUUCCUUCACCGUAAAGCACGAGAUGAAUUAUAAUCACAAAUUAAGCACAUGAAAAUUCAGUGGUGCUUGCCCGGGUUUGAACCCACGAUCAUCGGUUAAGAUUCACGCGUUAUAUACAAGGCUAGAAAUUAAUUAAAAUAAAAUAACAAUCCGGAACUGAGUGAGAUGUAAAUAACUAUUACAGAGUCACUUACUGCGACUUUAUAAAAGGCACAGUUAAAAUAUUUACAUUAAUAAUUUAUUUCAAUUCAAUAUAAAAAGCUUAAAUCGAAAAAAAAUAUAUACAUAUUAUUUAAUUUUUAAGAUUAUUUUAGCAUCUUUGUGCUAUGGUACAAAUAAUGAUCAGAACUUAACCUAACGAAUUUUCUUUAUUUUUCAAUCAUUUUAUAUUACACCGUAUAUUUUUUUGUAGAGUUUAGUAUGGUGUUAUACAUAAUUUAUGCACCUAGAAAUAAGAAAAAAUGUGUUCAUAUGAAUUUAGUUAUGAUACUUAUAGCAAACCUAGUUUUAUGAUUACAGUUCAGUACAGCUGUCAAACAGUGCAAUUUCUGCAUAGAUAUUCUUAUUCCACCGAAAUUGUACGCUACCUUAGUUGCAGAAAAUAAAUAUUGUACCUACCAAUGUUUGCAACUUUAACAUUUGAAGCAAUUGUGAAAGCAUUCUGCUAUUGUUACCUAAAGUUAUAAACAGAUUCUUAUAUUAGACUCGUAACUCCUAGAUAUUAGCUAACGAACUAAAAUAUUGUAAUGAAAAUACAAAUGUCACGAAUAAACGAAAUUACUUUCCGUUAA